rnacentral:lncRNA from 1 species
AACCGAAUUGGAAAUUCAUUUCAUUAAAUUUCAAGGUCAGUCCAAGGCCCACUGAUGUCAAGCCGAGAGAUUAGCCCAUCUCACAAAAAAACAAUAGCCAAUAUUUAUUUUCCAAAAAAAUAUGGUACAGUAUAAUAAACGAUAAACACAUGACAACACAACACUUUAUUAUUAUACAAAUGAAAGAAAGACAACAACACUUUACAGAUCAGGUAAAAAAACGGUUUACAGAUAACUCCGAAUAAUAUUGUAGCAUAUAUCCCAGAUAUUCAAUCUACAACAUGUCCCAGAUAUUCUGGGGCGGAGCCUUCAAAAAAGAUAUUCUCCAGUGGAGAACAGCGCCGACGUCAGAGACGCCAUAUCUACCACCAUAUUGACCCUACCCAUGCUCCUGAGUAGCCGAUCUCCAGCGACGAGAACAUGCAAUAGUUGUUGCCUGCACGUAUACAACCAAAUACUAUCUAAAAAAUUCUGAAAUAAAAACCCGCAAAAAAUCAGAAAUAAAACACAGUGAACUCGAAACGGUGAGGCAACCGACUGACAUCCCGCUGGGUCGAGGCCUCGAGGGACAAGCUGGGGGUGAGGACGCCGUCUGCGACGGACGCCAUUGAAGAAGGGACGACAGCAUCCCAGCACAACGGAGCCGCCUCAGCCAGGCGCCUGUAGAGUGCCGACUCGAUGCGGCUCGCUUGGUGCCUCAGCGCGGCAGCAUCGGACAGAGAUGGGCGGCCUGAACCGUGGCUGUGUUGCUGCCUUCCUAACCUGCACAUGACGAGAGGUGAGAUUAGUGAAAGAAUCCGGCGAUUAAGAGCAUGCGGCUGGGCGGGUUGCCGCUCAUGUACCGAUUGCGAUUGGGACAUAUCCUGCCAUAUCGAGCACGCAUCCAGAACAACGCUUACCAGCGACAGCUGCCUCUGCCGCGGCUCAACGAACCAUCUCGCUAGCGCCAUAUCCUGCCGUCCGCCGCCGCUCGGACAGUGGAGUCAUCGCUUCCCUUCGCGUUCGGUGGCAACGCCCACCACGACGCAGCUCCCCGGGGACGAGUCGGUGCGGCCCCCCGAAAUCCAGGCGCACACCACCGCACGGUGUGGGUCGGCCUGGACGUCGCGGCGUCGAUACUUGCCCCAGUGUGGACUCGGAGCCGAGAGAAGCAGCUAGGAGGGGACGGAAGGCAGCGACUGGAGAAGGAGAUGGAGAAAGGAAGGCACUGGAUGCCGG